GCUCAGUUGGUAGAACACAAGGCUCUUAACCUUAUGGUCGUGGGUUCGAGCCCCGC
rnacentral:tRNA from 1 species